GAUGAACGCUGGCGGCGUGCCUAAUACAUGCAAGUCGAGCGAACGGACGAGAAGCUUGCUUCUCUGAUGUUAGCGGCGGACGGGUGAGUAACACGUGGAUAACCUACCUAUAAGACUGGGAUAACUUCGGGAAACCGGAGCUAAUACCGGAUAAUAUUUUGAACCGCAUGGUUCAAAAGUGAAAGACGGUCUUGCUGUCACUUAUAGAUGGAUCCGCGCUGCAUUAGCUAGUUGGUAAGGUAACGGCUUACCAAGGCAACGAUGCAUAGCCGACCUGAGAGGGUGAUCGGCCACACUGGAACUGAGACACGGUCCAGACUCCUACGGGAGGCAGCAGUAGGGAAUCUUCCGCAAUGGGCGAAAGCCUGACGGAGCAACGCCGCGUGAGUGAUGAAGGUCUUCGGAUCGUAAAACUCUGUUAUUAGCGAAGAACAUAUGUGUAAGUAACUGUGCACAUCUUGACGGUACCUAAUCAGAAAGCCACGGCUAACUACGUG
rnacentral:rRNA from 1 species